AUCGUAACAUAUAGCACUAGC
rnacentral:miRNA from 1 species